CCUACGGGUGGCAGCAGUGAGGAAUAUUGGGCAAUGGACGAGAGUCUGAACCAGCCACGUAGCGUGAAUGAUGACUGCCCUAUGGGUGGUAAACUUUGUUUAUAUGGGAAUAAAAUGUUCCACGUGUGGGAUUUUGUAUGUACGAUAUGAAUAAGGAUCGACUAACUACGUGCCAGCAGCCGCGGUAAUACGGAGGAUCCGAGCGUUAUCCGGAUUUAUUGGGUUUAAAGGGAGCGUAGGCGGAUUGUUAAGUCAGUUGUGAAAGUUUGCGGCUCAACCGUAAAAUUGCAGUUGAAACUGUCAGUCUUGAGUACAGUAGAGGUGGGCGGAAUUCGUGGUGUAGCGGUGAAAUGCGUAGAUAUCACGAAGAACUCCGAUUGCGAAGGCAGCUCACUGGACUGCAACUGACACUGAGGCGCGAAAGUGUGGGGAUCAAACAGGAUUAGAUACCCCUGUAGUC
rnacentral:rRNA from 1 species